rnacentral:rRNA from 1 species
CAUGCGAGUCGAGCGGACUUACAAAAGCUUGCUUUUGUAAGUUAGCGGCGGACGGGUGAGUAACACGUGGGCAACCUGCCCUUGAGACUGGGAUAACUUCGGGAAACCGGAGCUAAUACCGGAUAAUAUAAGGAACCUCCUGGUUCCUUAUUGAAAGAUGGUUUCGGCUAUCACUUAAGGAUGGGCCCGCGGCGCAUUAGCUAGUUGGUGAGGUAACGGCUCACCAAGGCGACGAUGCGUAGCCGACCUGAGAGGGUGAUCGGCCACACUGGGACUGAGACACGGCCCAGACUCCUACGGGAGGCAGCAGUAGGGAAUCUUCCACAAUGGACGAAAGUCUGAUGGAGCAACGCCGCGUGAGUGAUGAAGGCCUUCGGGUCGUAAAGCUCUGUUGUUAGGGAAGAACAAGUGCGAGAGUAACUGCUCGCACCUUGACGGUACCUAACCAGAAAGCCACGGCUAACUACGUGCCAGCAGCCGCGGUAAUACGUAGGUGGCAAGCGUUAUCCGGAAUUAUUGGGCGUAAAGCGCGCGCAGGUGGUUUCUUAAGUCUGAUGUGAAAGCCCACGGCUCAACCGUGGAGGGUCAUUGGAAACUGGGGAACUUGAGUGCAGAAGAGGAAAGU